GUGCCAGCAGCCGCGGUAAUACGGAGGGUGCAAGCGUUAUCCGGAUUUACUGGGUUUAAAGGGUGCGUAGGCGGAUAGGUAAGUCAGUGGUGAAAUCUCCGAGCUUAACUCGGAAACUGCCGUUGAUACUAUUUAUCUUGAAUAUUGUGGAGGUAAGCGGAAUAUGUCAUGUAGCGGUGAAAUGCUUAGAUAUGACAUGGAACACCAAUUGCGAAGGCAGCUUACUACACAGUUAUUGACGCUGAGGCACGAAAGCGUGGGGAUCAAACAGGAUUAGAUACCCUGGUAGUCCACGCCCUAAACGAUGAUUACUCGACAUACGCGAUACACAGUGUGUGUCUAAGCGAAAGCAUUAAGUAAUCCACCUGGGAAGUACGAUCGCAAGAUUGAA
rnacentral:rRNA from 1 species